UAAUAAACUAAAACUUUCAACAACGGAUCUCUUGGUUCUGGCAUCGAUGAAGAACGCAGCGAAAUGCGAUAAGUAAUGUGAAUUGCAGAAUUCAGUGAAUCAUCGAAUCUUUGAACGCACAUUGCGCCCCUUGGUAUUCCGAGGGGCAUGCCUGUUCG
rnacentral:rRNA from 1 species